AUCAGAGUGGUGUAAUGCCACGGAGCUCGGUGUGAGUU
rnacentral:guide_RNA from 1 species